rnacentral:tRNA from 1 species
AUCAUGAUGGCAGAUUAUUGCCUCAAGUUUAAGCCUUGAUCAUGGGGUAUAGCCCCUCUUGAU